UGACUUCCGGACCGGCGGCUGAGCGAAUCGGGUAAGUGCUCUGCUCCUCGCGGCCGCGGGCUCGAAGCUGGGUCCGACGCCGUCGUUUCUGGACUGUAGGUACAGGCGCGGGCGCCCCCCGCACGCGCCCCGGCCCCUUGAACCCGCCAGCCCGGACUCCCUGCAGGCCGUGACCGUGCGGGUGUUUCCCCACGCCGCUUCCGCCCCAGCUGCUGACCCUCGCGCCCAGCGAGCCGGCACGACUCAGGGCAUCUCUGCCGAGCGAGACGUGAACCAGCCCGGCUCCCACCCUCGUCCUGCUUUGCACCGAGCGCCUGGGUCUUCGCCAGAGUGGAACGCGAGAGCAGCAUUCUCAAACGAACUAUGGACGGGAUGUUAGCGGACAGGAGGAGCACAGGCUCCGUAUUCCGCAUGAAACUAGGAUAGCAUUUACUAAAUUAUUCUUCAUCCGGAUAAGGUGCAAAUCUGCGGCAUGGCAUACAUCUUCGAGGCCCGGGCCUUGCCGCUGAGGAGCUGUGCCGUGUGAUGCUCCUUUUUUGUUAAAAAGGACUGCUACCAGUACUGUCUUCCAUUCCUCUAUCUCUAGCCUCUUGGGCUGCAUUAUAUGUAAAGAGAUUAUAAGUGAAGGCAGCUUAAGUUCUUUGGAAGAAGAGCAACCUGAAUCCAGUUUUUUAAUUUUUUUUUUGGUGUGUUUUGUUUACUUGUGUGAACAGGCUCACUCCUUUGAUGGAGCAGUGGAAUGCUGAGUGACACAAUUACAGAUCGCUCCAGUCUUACAUCCUCCCAAUUCAGCAAUUCCUAGGAAAUUUGGAAUUUCUCCCACCUCACCUUAGGAGGACUUUCACUGGUGUCCGGAGAAUGGCUUCCCAGUGAUAUGAG